UGCCUUCAUGGGGGCAACCAGCGGUGGUGGCGGAGCCAUCUUCAGAUCGAUUGAAUUGGUCAGAGAUUUAAGAGAUCACCACACACACAACGGAUCUGCCGGCCGCACCAACAUUCCAGACGCUAGAUGCUGGACGCUGGACGACUUAUAUGAGGAUCUCCGGCGGUUGAUCUCUGCAUGUGUGUAACUUAAUUUGGUUCGAUUCGAAACAGACUCCGGAGAGUGAACAGAAGAAGCUAGCACAGCAAAGGGGAGAGAAAAGUGAUACAAAUAAAACCAACAUACUAAUUAUAGCAAAUGACAACAAAUUGAACGCUUUCUUUGCUUGGGAGUGAGGAAGUGCCUGCUGAUUCCUCCGUCCCCUCGGACAUGUGGUUAAUAUUCAACCUGAAUUUGUUUCAACUCCGAUCUCAAAUGACCGAACAAAUCUCAAGUUUGAAUGCAAUGCCCUAAUGAGUCAAUUAUCAAGAUAUAAACUAAUCACCACAUAUAAGAAUUUCAUCUCCGAUGCGUAUAAUUUUCAGGGAUACAAACUGAAUUGGAAAGAAAAUUGACAGCGUCUCAA